rnacentral:rRNA from 1 species
UACGUAGGGGGCAAGCGUUGUCCGGAUUUAUUGGGCGUAAAGAGCGUGUAGGCGGUUUGGUAGGUCCGUUGUGAAAACUCGAGGCUCAACCUCGAGACGCCGAUGGAAACCAUCAGACUAGAGUCCGGAAGAGGAGAGUGGAAUUCCGUGGUGUAGCGGUGAAAUGCGCAGAUAUCAGGAGGAACACCGAUGGCGAAGGCAGCUCGCUGGGACGGUACUGGACGCUGAGGCGCGAAAGCGUGGGGAGCGAACAGG